rnacentral:rRNA from 1 species
AUUGAACGCUGGCGGCAGGCCUAACACAUGCAAGUCGAGCGGAGCUUUCGGACCUAGUGGCGGACGGGUGAGUAAUGCGUAGGAAGCUGCCCGAUAGAGGGGGAUACCAGUUGGAAACGACUGUUAAUACCGCAUAAUGUCUACGGACCAAAGUGUGGGAUCUUCGGGCCACAUGCUAUCGGAUGCGCCUACGUGGGAUUAGCUAGCUGGUGAGGUAAUGGCUCACCAAGGCGACGAUCGCUAGCUGGUCUGAGAGGAUGAUCAGCCACACUGGAACUGAGACACGGCCCAGACUACUACGGGAGGCAGCAGUGGGGAAUGUUGGACAAUGGGCGCAAGCCUGAUCCAGCCAUGCCGCGUGUGGGAAGAAGGCCUUCGGGUUGUAAAGCACUUUCGGCGAGGAGGAAGGGUGGUGUGUUAAUAGCGCAUCAUUUUGACGUUACUCGCAGAAGAAGCACCGGCUAACUCUGUGCCAGCCGCCGCCGUAAGAC